CUGGUGCCAGCAGCCGCGGUAAUUCCAGCUCCAAUAGCGUAUAUUAAACUUGUUGCAGUUAAAAAGCUCGUAGUUGAAUUUUUGCGUGGUGUUAAUAUUGACUAAUGUCGAGAUUGCACUUCGCUUUUGGGAUUUAUCCCUUUUUACUUUGAGAAAAUUAGAGUGUUUCAAGCAGACUUUUGUCUUGAAUACUUCAGCAUGGAAUAAUAGAGUAGGACUUUGGUUCUAUUUUGUUGGUUUGUGAACCUUAGUAAUGGUUAAUAGGAACGGUUGGGGGCAUUCGUAUUUAACUGUCAGAGGUGAAAUUCUUAGAUUUGUUAAAGACGAACUACUGCGAAAGCAUUUGCCAAGGACGUUUUCAUUAAUCAAGAACGAAAGUUAGGGGAUCGAAGACGAUCAGAUACCGUCGUAGUCCUAACCA
rnacentral:rRNA from 1 species